GCUAGAUUUCGCACGCUUACGACCAUUGCUGGGAAACGUCUCUCGUGCAAUACCAUCUAAAGAACCGGAGGAAAAGUAUUUCCUCCAAUUCGUAGUUGUUCGCGUUUUAGUUUGCCGUGUUGCUCUUUAGGAGAUAAACCCAAGUGUAUUCGGGAGACUAGCGUAAAGAAAUGAAAUUAUUGUUCGACGGUUGGAUUCUGUUGGAUCGCGAAUGAUUUAUAAAUUUAAAGCACUCGAUCGUUAUCGCCCUAUACGAACAAGUGGCAAUGAUUGUUUUAUACUUACCUAAAGGGUUAAAAGCUCCUCUCUUGAAAACAUCUCGAGAAGAAGAAGAAACUUUGCCUAUUGUGCUAGCCGUAAGCAGAAAGAAGUAUCCGUCUGGAUUAAAUAUUUUAAACUUCGUCGAUCCUGAACUUCAGAGAUUCUCGUGCCAAAUCAACGUGACGAGCAGUCGAUGAUAAUCAUUGCUGCAGGCCUCGUUCCUUAAAAUUUUAGCGAUGCCUUGUUCUUGCGAUGAAAAUUUUCUAUUAAUUCAAAUACAUCGUUGACAGGACUAAAACAGUUCGGUAAACAGUUAAAAUACGAGAUCUACGAUAUUCUAACUAUAACAUUACUCGCAAAAGAAGUACAGUCCGACCUUUAAAUCGGUACGGACA
rnacentral:misc_RNA from 1 species